rnacentral:lncRNA from 1 species
AACCGGAGAAGGGGGCAGUGGAGGUGGUGGCCCUAGUGGUCGUGGCGGUGGUGAUUUGAGAUGAACUGGAGCACUGGGUUUCGGUGGUGGGGGUGGUGAUCUACUGGCAACCCUAUAAGACACCACUUUUAGCUUAUGGAUGGAAUGGCUGGAGAUACCUUCAGAUGCCUUGACAAUGUAACAAAGAGUGCGACAGUAGCAGUCCACAAAUCAACAAGAAACUUAAUUAUCAAACUCGAAUUGGCUUGCAUUUUUGUGGAUUAGAACCUUAAUAACAAUCUUAGUUUUGGAGGGGGAGCUAGCUAGGGGGAGGAACGAAUUGAUCGAUCUGAUAAUCUUAGUCUGUUUUUAUAACCAAUAUUAUUGAAGAUCGAUCAUCAUGGAAUCGGUGAGAGAGGGAUGAAGACUUUGACAAUGUCUAUCUUUUGCACCAAGUACCAUCUUCUUUGUAGAUUUUUGAUCAACUAAAGAAAUUGUUGCUAAUGCUUCUUAUUGUGUAUAGAAUCAAACGUUCUUUGUCUAUUGGUAUUCAUUCAAUGUAAACCGAAAGAGACGAAAGAGGUGUGGAUUGUAAAGACAUAAAUCAUUCAAUCUGAACACGAAAGAGCACAAUGGUUGUCGAUUAAUAACCUAGACAGAUUAAUUAUUCUCUUCUGAAUCAUAUCAAAGAAAAUUUCACAUAUAUUCAUCAAAUUUAAUAGUAUAUAUCUGAAAUCUUCAGACUUCAGCAUAAAAUUGAUAAUUUCUCGUUGAAUUCAUGAACUGUCUAAGAAGCUUAAAUGAGAAGUACAUCCGAUCAAGCAUAUCGAGAUGCAUUAUGGGGAUUUAUUUGGACCGUACAUAAGACAUCCUGAUCGAUCGAACCAGAGAUGAGAUAUGAUACUACAUAUAUCUAAUGUCGUAUAAAAACAUAAUCAUGUGGUGGCUACGCCGGUGGUGGCGUCUGUGGUGGUGGUGGAGAGGGGUGAACUGUAGGAUUGGGUUUCGGAGGCGGCGGUGGAGACCUGCGGCUGACCCUGUGGGAUUCCACUCUUAAUUUACUCAUGAAAUGGCCGGAAAAACCUUCAGACGCCGCUUCAACCUUGUUACUCGAGGACUGCGAUAGUAGUAGUAAUCCACAAAUCAACAAGAAGGAUAGCAAAGCUGGGUAACCCUUCAUCGUUCUGGUACGUAAAUAAGAUUCAGUAUGAGGAGCGAUGAUGAUCUUAUUGCUGUUCUUAUAGCCAAUAUAUAUUCGUUUGUCUUCUAUAUUUAACUUGACAAGUUGACCACUGAUUAAAAAUUUCUUAAUCGAAGUGUUCUACAGCUUUAUUGUAAUUAAUUAUAAAAGAUAUCAUAUUUGUUUGGUGCUAUGCAUAAAGUCCGGCUUUAAUUUGGAUCAACAACUUUCCUUUGGUUUAUAUAAUUCAGAGCAUCUCAUCGACAACUUGAUCAUGAUCAUUAAAUCGAAGGAUGAAUCAUAGGAUGAUCAAAUCCUUGUUUGGUUUAGUUUACAGAAUUAGAGCUUUUGGUUAAUUCCUCCUUUAUUUCCUUACAUUUAAUGAUUUAAAUGAUUUGAUAAAAAUUUAAUAACUUACUGAAAUAAAAGGUUCAUGGAAUAUUAGAGCUUUCAAUCUGUUCGCGACACAUCUAUAGGGAAGCAAAUGGUGUUGCAGAUAGAUUAGCACACCUUGCUAGUUUAGGAGUUCUUGAGGAUGAGUGGUUAGAGGAUCGGAGACUCCUGCUAUUAUUCAGGACGUUCUCUACGAAGAUUUUUGCAAUUUACAUAUUGUAGCUCGGGGUUCAGAUGUUAUGUCCCCCCGGAUGCAGAAUUUUAAUAUUAAUGUAAUAAAUAAAAAUGGGCGUGGGGCUGAGCCUCCCAGCUAGGCUGGGUUCCAAACCCUUUUAAAAAAAAAGAAGAAAAAAAAUAGGUUCAUGGAAUAUAUAAUUCUAUCUUUUUCUAUAGAAAAUAGAAAACGAAUUACGUACUAAUUCCCUUUUCUAAACCAAACAAGGAGAUAACCUCGACCGGCCUAAUGACCAACUUGUCUGCGUCCAUAUAUUUAUACUACAACUUUCUAUUGCAUGUAUAUGGUUAAAAGUCAAGAGAAAGACAAACUUUGUGCCAUUUAGUCUAAUUCGAUCUAUUCCUAGCUAUCACUAUUUUUAAUUUGGGUCGUCGAAGUGUCUGCAUGCACCCCAUGAACCUUCUUCGACGUUUUUCAUAUUACUGAAAUUAAACUACGAAGGAAAAAUCACUCAACAACUCCUUAAAGCUUUAAACAAAUGAAACAUAGACUUUCUUACACCUUCUAGUCAGGUCAGAUUAAUUGUCAACAUUUUUUUUUUCAUGUAAAUUGACAUACUAAUUCUCUUUUAUAGAUACAUCAAAACGAACACUCCAGCUGGACCACAAUUAAAAAUCCAGAUGAUCAUGAGCAGAAGAUCUAUGAAUCUAUAUAUGAUGUAUAAGUACGUCGCCGAUUAAUUAAGAACAUGCAUACGAAUAUGGCUGUAUGCGGCGGCCGAUGCGGUUGCUGUGGUGGACUGGUGGUGGAUAUGGUGGACACCUCUCACCGAUAAUGAACUGAAUAAUUAAGCCUAGGAUAUAUACUAGCUACGUUUGACAGGACUGUAUACAGUUAGCAAACUGGAUGCUAAUACAGAUCAGGCGUUUGAACUUAUUUGUUUUUAUAGCCCACAGUCGACAUAUAUAGUUCUUUCUUAUCUUCGAUACUAAUUAAACAAGUACUAUACAUAAUCUUUGAACAAACGAACAAAAAGGAUUGAAAAUUAACCACUUGAUCAUUGAUGAAGGAUUUUAUUACCACCAAAUUUUUCCAAAUGGAAAAAUUUGAAGAACACCCUAAUUAGGAGUAUACUAAUUAAGCAGUACACAUAUGCAUAUAUGGCAGCAUAUAUGCAUGCCUGCAUCAUGUGGUUUGCUAACUUCACUAGCUCAGGGGAGAGGUGGCGGUGGGGAUGGAGGUAUUGGUGGCCGUGGCGGUAGCUUAGGUACGUAUACAGGCCCUCGCCUUGGUGACGGUGGUGGAGGUAUCCGCUUGGCCUUGUUUGACACCACUUCAAAUCUACUUACAGAAAGGGCGGAAAACCCUACAGCAGCCUUAACCAUGUAACUAGGGUACUUGGAUAGUAGUAAUCCAAAAACCAACAAGACAAUAAUCGAACUUGGAGCGGUAUCCAUUUUUGUCAUAGUACCUUCACGGCUUCGAUCACCACAAUAUGAUUAUAUGAGUUUGGCACGGAAUUUAUAGCCAAACGUUCUCUCAUCUUCUACGUAAAAUUCCACAACGUCCACCUACCACCACAUUUUUUCUCGAUUGAAAUCCACUUGUAUCAGAAGCAACAAGAUAUAGGUCCAAAGUCAAGAGUCGAGACAGACGACAAAAUCUACGUCCUCUUGUCCUUUAGAAAUAAUUUUAAGCAAAAUAAUAUAGUUUAUAUGCAUGAACGUAACAAUGAUUAAGAGAAAUUCUUCCGUGGGACGGUCGUGCCACCUGGCACAUGCGACCACCCAACCAGAUGCAAACACGUGUUCCCCCCAACCUGCGUUCUUCUUCUUCUUCCUGUCUCCGGCGGAUCUUCUUCUUCCUUCCUCUUCGAUGCCACCGUCGACCACCAUGACAAUGCAUGCAAACCCUCCCUCUCAUAUUUCACCUAUGGUGAUCCAAAGGUCCCGGCCGGUCGCCGAAACUCAGGGUGGUGGUCCGGUCCAUGUUCUCUGCCGUGCCGGAGAAGCCGCAGGGACCUUCGGCCGCGUCGAAAAGGAAGGAAGAAGAAGCUUCGCCGGAGAAAGGAAGAAGAAGAUCUGCCGGAGAAAGGAAGAAGAAGAUGAACACGCAGGAGUGAGAAAAAAAAACAUUGGGUGCGCAUGUGCCAGGUGGCACGACUGACCCACAGAAGAAUUUCUCUUAAUGAACCGGAUACGAAGAUAAUAUCAUGGCUCUGGUGAUGACGGAACCGGAGAAGGGGGCAGUGGAGGUGGUGGCCCUAGUGGUCGUGGCGGUGGUGAUUUGAAAUGAACUGGAGCACUGGGUUUCGGUGGUGGUGGUGGUGAUCUACUGCUAACCCUAUAAGACACCACUUUUAGCUUAUGGAUGGAAUGGCUGGAGAAACCUUCAGAUGCCUUGACAAUAUAACAAGAGUGCGACAGUAGUAGUCCACAAAUCAACAAGAAACUUGGCAAACUUGAAUUGGCUUGCAUUUUUGUGGAUUAGAACCUUAAUAACAAUCUUAGUUUGGAGGGGGUAGCUAGCUAGGGG